rnacentral:misc_RNA from 1 species
GUGAAUCAUCAAAUUUUUGAACGCAAAUUGCACUCUCUUCGGAGAGUAUGCCUGUUUGAGUUUCAGCCUAAAAAAAAUUGACAUAGUUGCUGUUACGCGGUAACAUUCGUCGGAAAUUGGGUCAUCUUAAGCCUUUGGGUUUAAGCGGCUUAUAAUUUUCUUUAUGAUUCCAAGAACGUAUCUAAGAUUUUAUUUUCUUAUACGUUUAAGUUAUCGAUCUUUAUUAUUCGUGGCUGUUGCAUCGGCUUUCGGCCACAAAUCUUUCGUU